rnacentral:lncRNA from 1 species
UCCAGCUGGGUAGCCGGGGGAGCGCGCGUGGGGGCUCCGCGAGUCGCUCGCCCUUGGUUUCUGGGGAAGCCUGGGGGACGCGGCUGUGGCGGAGGCGCCCUGGGACUCAGGUCGCCUGGAGCGUGGCACGCAGAGCCCCAGGCGCGGAGCUGAGGCCGCGCGGCCGCGCUUGGCCCCAGCGGGCGUGGGACUGAGCAGUCUGCUGCCCCCCGACAUGUGACCCAGCCCCGCCGCCCAUGCGGGCUCCCGGCCGCCCGGCCCUGCGGCCGCUGCCGCUGCCGCCGCUGCUGCUGUUGCUCCUGGCGGCGCCUUGGGGACGGGCAGUUCCCUGUGUCUCUGGUGGUUUGCCUAAACCUGCAAACAUCACCUUCUUAUCCAUCAACAUGAAGAAUGUCCUACAAUGGACUCCACCAGAGGGUCUUCAAGGAGUUAAAGUUACUUACACUGUGCAGUAUUUCAUCACAAAUUGGCCCACCAGAGGUGGCACUGACUACAGAUGAGAAGUCCAUUUCUGUUGUCCUGACAGCUCCAGAGAAGUGGAAGAGAAAUCCAGAAGACCUUCCUGUUUCCAUGCAACAAAUAUACUCCAAUCUGAAGUAUAACGUGUCUGUGUUGAAUACUAAAUCAAACAGAACGUGGUCCCAGUGUGUGACCAACCACACGCUGGUGCUCACCUGGCUGGAGCCGAACACUCUUUACUGCGUACACGUGGAGUCCUUCGUCCCAGGGCCCCCUCGCCGUGCUCAGCCUUCUGAGAAGCAGUGUGCCAGGACUUUGAAAGAUCAAUCAUCAGAGUUCAAGGCUAAAAUCAUCUUCUGGUAUGUUUUGCCCGUAUCUAUUACCGUGUUUCUUUUUUCUGUGAUGGGCUAUUCCAUCUACCGAUAUAUCCACGUUGGCAAAGAGAAACACCCAGCAAAUUUG